GACGAACGCUGGCGGCGUGCCUAAUACAUGCAAGUUGAGCGCUGAAGGUUGGUACUUGUACCAACUGGAUGAGCAGCGAACGGGUGAGUAACGCGUGGGGAAUCUGCCUUUGAGCGGGGGACAACAUUUGGAAACGAAUGCCAAUACCGCAUAAAAACUUUAAACACAAGUUUUAAGUUUGAAAGAUGCAAUUGCAUCACUCAAAGAUGAUCCCGCGUUGUAUUAGCUAGUUGGUGAGGUAAAGGCUCACCAAGGCGAUGAUACAUAGCCGACCUGAGAGGGUGAUCGGCCACAUUGGGACUGAGACACGGCCCAAACUCCUACGGGAGGCAGCAGUAGGGAAUCUUCGGCAAUGGACGAAAGUCUGACCGAGCAACGCCGCGUGAGUGAAGAGGGUUUUCGGAUCGUAAAACUCUGUUGGUAGAGAAGAACGUUGGUGAGAGUGGAAAGCUCAUCAAGUGACGGUAACUACCCAGAAAGGGACGGCUAACUACGUG
rnacentral:rRNA from 1 species